rnacentral:rRNA from 1 species
AUUGAACGCUGGCGGCAGGCCUAACACAUGCAAGUCGAGCGGAUGAAGGGAGCUUGCUCCUGGAUUCAGCGGCGGACGGGUGAGUAAUGCCUAGGAAUCUGCCUGGUAGUGGGGGAUAACGUCCGGAAACGGGCGCUAAUACCGCAUACGUCCUGAGGGAGAAAGUGGGGGAUCUUCGGACCUCACGCUAUCAGAUGAGCCUAGGUCGGAUUAGCUAGUUGGUGGGGUAAAGGCCUACCAAGGCGACGAUCCGUAACUGGUCUGAGAGGAUGAUCAGUCACACGGGAACUGAGACACGGUCCAGACUCCUACGGGAGGCAGCAGUGGGGAAUAUUGGACAAUGGGCGAAAGCCUGAUCCAGCAAUGCCGCGUGUGUGAAGAAGGUCUUCGGAUUGUAAAGCACUUUAAGUUGGGAGGAAGGGCAGUAAGUUAAUACCUUGCUGUUUUGACGUUACCAACAGAAUAAGCACCGGCUAACUUCGUG